GAUGAACGCUGGCGGCGUGCUUAACACAUGCAAGUCGAACGGACUCAUAUUGAAACCUAGUGAUUUAUGAGUUAGUGGCGGACGGGUGAGUAACGCGUGGAUAACCUGCCGUAUACCGGGGGAUAACACUUAGAAAUAGGUGCUAAUACCGCAUAAGCGCACGGCUCCGCAUGGGGCAGUGUGAAAAACUCCGGUGGUAUACGAUGGAUCCGCGUCUGAUUAGCUAGUUGGCGGGGUAACGGCCCACCAAGGCAGCGAUCAGUAGCCGGCCUGAGAGGGUGGACGGCCACAUUGGGACUGAGACACGGCCCAA
rnacentral:rRNA from 1 species